rnacentral:rRNA from 1 species
UACGUAGGAGGCGAGCGUUGUCCGGAAUUACUGGGCGUAAAGCGCGUGUAGGCGGAUGGGCAAGUCUGCUGUGAAAGCUCCUGGCUUAACCGGGAGUAGUCGGUGGAAACUGCUCGUCUGGAGGACGGUAGAGGUAGGUAGAAUUCCCGGUGUAGUGGUGAAAUGCGUAGAGAUCGGGAGGAAUACCUGUGGCGAAGGCGGCCUACUGGGCCGGACCUGACGCUGAGACGCGAAGGCGUGGGGAGCGAACGGG